UACGGAGGGGGCUAGCGUUGCUCGGAAUCACUGGGCGUAAAGGGUGCGUAGGCGGUCUCGCAAGUCUGGCGUGAAAGCCCAAGGCUCAGCCUUGGAAGUGCGCUCGAAACGGCGAGACUGGAGUGCCGGAGGGGAGAGUGGAAUUCCCGGUGUAGCGGUGAAAUGCGUAGAGAUCAGGAGGAACACCGGUGGCGAAGGCGGUUCUCUGGGAAUGUCCUGACGCUGAGGAGCGAAAGUGUGGGGAGCGAACAGG
rnacentral:rRNA from 1 species